rnacentral:rRNA from 1 species
CCUACGGGGGGCAGCAGUGAGGAAUAUUGGUCAAUGGACGAGAGUCUGAACCAGCCAAGUAGCGUGAAGGAUGACUGCCCUAUGGGUUGUAAACUUCUUUUAUAUGGGAAUAAAAUGUUCCACGUGUGGGGUUUUGUAUGUACCCUAUGAAUAAGGAUCGGGAAAAUCCGUGCCAGUAGCCGCGGUAAUUCGGAGGAUUCGAGCGUUAUCCGGUUUUAUUUGGGUUAAAGGGAGCGUAGGUGGAUUGUUAAGUCAGUUGUGAAAGUUUGGGGCUCAAACGUAGAAUUGCAUGUGAAACUGGCAGUCUUGAGUACAGUAGAGGUGGGCGGAAUUCGUGGUGUAGCGGUGAAAUGCUUAGAUAUCACGAAGAACUCCGAUUGCGAAGGCAGUUCACUGGACUGCAACUGACGCUGAGGCUCGAAAGUGUGGGUAUCAAACAGGAUUAGAUACCCGUGUAGUC